rnacentral:rRNA from 1 species
CAGAUAAGGUCCCAAAAUUGUGAUUAAGUGUGAAAGGAUGUGGAAGUUCCUUAACAGCCGGGAGGUUGGCUUAGAAGCAGCCAUCCUUUAAAGAAAGCGUAACAGCUCACUCAUUAAGAGAUCUUGCGCCGCAGAUAAUCGGGGCUAAGUAUGGUACCGAAGGUGAGGAUGUAUAUAUUUUUCGAAAUUUAUGCGUGGUAGGAGAGUAUUCCUGUCUGCGUUGAAGCCAAAGGGGUAACCCAUGGUGGAGCGUCAGGAAGUAAGAAUGUUGGCACAAGUAACCGCAAUGCGGGUGAGAUUCCCGCACGCCGAAAAGACUAAGGUUUCCUUGGCAAUGAUAAUCAGCCAAGGGUUAGUCGGGCCUAAGCGUAUGGCGAAAGCCGGACGCGAUGGACAGACGGUUAAUAUUCCGUCACUUGAUAUAAAUGCGAUGGGAGGACGGAGUGCAGUAUGCUUAGCGUAUUAUUGGAUUUACGUUCAUUACAUAGGGGUAGGUUUUUGGAAAAUCCGGGACCUGGCUUAGAUGCCGAUAUCCGAGUGUUGUGAAGAUUUCAGAUCUUCGGGUCUGGAGAAUUGGGCAAAGCGCGCUUCCUAGAAAAGUCUCUAAGCUUAAUUUAUAUUAAUCCGUACCGAAAACCGACACAGGUAGUCAGGUCGAGAAGACCAAGGCGAAUGAGUGAUUCUUUCUCAAGGAACUCGGCAAAAAAGCAGCCGUAAGUUAGCAAUAAGGCUUGCCUACCCCUUCGGGGGAGGCCGCAGCGAAAGUAUCCCUGGCGACUGUUUAUUAAAAACACAGCUCCCUGCGAACUCGUAAGAGGAUGUAUAGGGGGUGACGCCUGACCAAUGCCCGAAGGUCAAGUACGGAGGGUCCUAACUUUGUUAGGGCUAGACUGUAUAAGCCCGGGUGAAUGUCGGCCGUAACUAUAACGGUCCUAAGGUAGCGAAAUUCCUUGUCUGGUAAGUUCAGACGUGCACGAAUGGCGUAACGACUGGGGAACUGUCUCGAGAAAGAGCUCGGUGAAAAUGCAAUACCGGUGAAGACGCCGGUUACCUGCAGCUAGACGAAAAGACCCCGGGAGCUUUACUAUAGCUUGAUAUUGGGGCUAUUUUUCAAAUGCGUAGCAUAGAUGGGAGACUUUGAUGUUUUGGUUUUGGCUAAAACGGAGUCGUCAGUGAAAUACCAUUCUUUUGCGAAAUAGUUUCUAACCCAAAUGGUAAAAACAUUUUGGAACAGUAUCUGGUAGGUAGUUUGAGUGGGGCGCUCUCCUCCCAAAAAGUAACGGAGGAGUUUAUUAAGGUUCUCUAGGCGCGAAUGGAAACCGUGCCGAUAGUGUAAUGGCAAAAGAGAGCUUGACUGCAAGGGGGGUAUCCCGAGCAGGUGCGAAAGCAGAACAUAGUGAACCUGCGGUCCGUGUUAGAUGCGGCCGGAGAUCAUCAGAUAAAAGCUACCCCGGGGAUAACAGGCUGGUUCCGCCUAAGCGUCCAGAGCGACGGCGGAGUUCGGCACCUCGAUGUCGGCUCGACUUAUCCUGGAGGUGAAGAAGCUUCCAAGGGUUUGGCUGUUCGCCAAUUAAAAAGUCACGCGAGCUGGGUUAAGACCGUCGUAAGACAGGUCGGUCUCCUAUCUGCUGCAGGCGUUGAUUCUUGAGAAGAUCUGCUUCUAGUACGAGAGGACCGAAGUGGACUGACCUCUGGUCUACCUGCUGUCGUGCCAACGGCAUCGCAGGGUAGCUAAGUCGGGAAUGGAUAACCUCUGAAAGCAUCUAAGAGGGAAGCCAACUUCAAGAUUAGGAAUCGUUGAGACCCCUAGAAGAUUACUAGGUUGAUAGGCUCUAGGUGUAAGCAUGGAGACAUGUUUAGCCGAGGAGUACUAAUUUGUCGAUCCUAUUAGAAAG